rnacentral:rRNA from 1 species
UACAGAGGGGGCAAGCGUUAUUCACAAUUAUUAGGCGUAAAGGGUGCGUAGAUCGUUUUUUAGUUUUGUUUUUUAAAAUCCCAUUUAUUUAAAAAUGGUAGCGGAAAAUAAACUGGAAGCUUGAGUGGAAAAAGGAUUGGUAGAAUUGUUGGCUUAAGGAUGAAAUCUUUCGAUCCCAAUAGGAAUGCCAUUUAGCGAAGGCAACUUUUUUUUUUCUACUGACGUUGAGGCACGAAGGUAUGGGGAUCAAACAGG